UGUGGCUAUUGUAGUAUCAACAAUUUGAAUAGAGUGCACUGAAGUCAGUAAGUUAACGAAUAUGGCAAAGAGAUCACAUCGCCAUGCUCUGAGAUAUGAGAAGGAUCGAGCGGGUUGCAUUUGGGGUUUGAUUAGCAUCUUUGACUUCCGCCAUGGUCGAGCCACUAGAAAGUUGCUCUCAGAUAGAGCGCGAGGAAGCAAACCAGUUCUUGCAGGUUCUGCUUCUUCAAGCUCUAUGCAGGAAAUACCAAAUCCCAGUGAUGAUAGACUGAAUAUUGAGGAUGAUGAAGAAAGUGAGGUAGCUGUACCUGAUCCUAGAACAAGUGUAAAGGAGCUCAUGGAAGAAGAAAUGGUCAAUGAGCAAAGCCUGAAAGAUCAGUGCAAUGGUUCUGAAAUAGACACAGAAGAUGUUGAUUCACAAAAAUCAUGGCGUUCAAGAAAGAACAGCAGGCGAACACGCAGAGCUUUCUCCAGACCUAGUAAUACACUCUCUCAUGAUUUGGAUGAUGCAGGAAAUUUGAGGUCUGAAGCACCUUGUCAUCAAGAUUCUGGAGGGACGGCCCUCGAUGAUCUGGACAUUGUAAUGGAAGAACUCCGCCAGAUUCAUCAGAAAAAUCGUAAGUUUGUGAAGCUCCGCCAAGGUUCACAUAAUGCUCAUAACAAUCAGUCAGAUCAGACUCACCCAGUUGUUGAAGAAAAGGUAAAUGCAGCUAUUGAGGUGUUUAUCAAUCAGAGAUCAAGAAACAAUAAACAAUUGGGAGAAGAUAACAAGACCCUCCAAUCAAAAGAAUUCAUGGAUGCUCUGCAGACACUAAGUUCAAAUAAGGACUUAAUCAUGAGACUCCUACAAGAUCCAAACUCAAGGCUGGUAAAGCAAAUUGGAAGUUUGGAGGAUGCUCAGUUUGAGGAAAAGCAGAGACCUAACUUGAUUUCAGAAUCCAAUAUGUCAGAGGAAAACCGUGUUCAUGCAAAAACAGAUGAUGUCAUAAACCACAAACAACGUAAGUUUUUCAGGAGGAGGAGCAAAUCUCAAGAAGUUUACCCUCCAAUGGGAAAUGAGACUCCCCGAUCCUCAAGUAAAAUUGUUAUUUUGAAGCCUGGUCCGACAGGCUUGCAAUCACCCAGUGCUCAAAUCAAUGUUAACACUCCAGCACGCUCGCGAUACACAGAGAAACAUACUAUUCAGAAUGAAAGGAACACAUCCCAGUUCUCAUUUACAGAAAUUAAAAGAAAACUCAAGCAUGCAAUGGGAA
rnacentral:misc_RNA from 1 species